AGGGCACCACCAGGAGUGGAGCCUGCGGCUUAAUUUGGCUCAACACGGGAAAACUCACCCGGCCCGGACACUGGAAGGAUUGACAGAUUGAGAGCUCUUUCUUGAUUCAGUGGGUGGUGGUGCAUGGCCGUUCUUAGUUGGUGGAGUGAUUUGUCUGGUUAAUUCCGAUAACGAACGAGACUCUAGCCUACUAAAUAGAUCGUCGGCUUACAAACGCCGGCGAGACUUCUUAGAGGGACAGGCGGUGAUUCAACCGCACGAAACAGAGCAAUAACAGGUCUGUGAUGCCCUUAGAUGUCCGGGGCCGCACGCGCGCUACACUGAAGUGAUCAGCGUGCUUUUUCAACCUACUCUGUCAAGAGUGGGGAACCCAAUGAACCUUCUUCGUGAUUGGGAUAGGGGAUUGUAAUUAUUCCCCUUGAACGAGGAAUUCCCAGUAAGCGCGAGUCAUAAGCUCGCGUUGAUUACGUCCCUGCCCUUUGUACACACCGCCCGUCGCUACUACCGACUGAAUGUUUU
rnacentral:rRNA from 1 species